GUGGGGAAUCUUCCGCAAUGGACGAAAGUCUGACGGAGCAACGCCGCGUGAGUGAAGAAGGUUUUCGGAUCGUAAAGCUCUUUCGUUAGGGACGAACGUGCUCUUUGUGAAUAAUGAGGAGUAAUGACGGUACCUAAAUAAGAAGCCACGGCUAACUACGUGCCAGCAGCCGCGGUAAUACGUAGGUGGCAAGCGUUGUCCGGAAUUAUUGGGCGUAAAGCGCGCGCAGGCGGGAUAUCAAGUCUGUCUUAAAAGUGCGAGGCUCAACCUCGUGAGGGGACAGAAACUGGUAUUCUUGAGUGUCGGAGAGGAAAGUGGAAUCCCAAGUGUAGCGGUGAAAUGCGUAGAGAUUUGGAAGAACACCAGUGGCGAAGGCGACUUUCUGGACGAUGUCUGACGCUGAGGCGCGAAAGCUAGGGGAGCGAACGGGAUUAGAAACCCGGGUAGUCC
rnacentral:rRNA from 1 species